UACAGAGGUCUCAAGCGUUGUUCGGAUUCAUUGGGCGUAAAGGGUGCGUAGGCGGCGCGGUAAGUCGGGUGUGAAAUCUCGGGGCUUAACUCCGAAACUGCAUUCGAUACUGCCGUGCUUGAGGACUGGAGAGGAGACUGGAAUUUACGGUGUAGCGGUGAAAUGCGUAGAUAUCAUGAGGAAGACCAGUGGCGAAGGCGGAUCUCUGGACAGUUCCUGACACUGAGGCACGAAGGCCAGGGGAGCAAACGGG
rnacentral:rRNA from 1 species